GAUGAACGCUGGCGGCGUGCCUAAUACAUGCAAGUCGAGCGAACAGACGAGGAGCUUGCUCCUCUGACGUUAGCGGCGGACGGGUGAGUAGCACGUGGAUAACCUACCUAUAAGACUGGGAUAACUUCGGGAAACCGGAGCUAAUACCGGAUAAUAUAUUGAACCGCAUGGUUCAAUAGUGAAAGACGGUUUUGCUGUCACUUAUAGAUGGAUCCGCGCCGCAUUAGCUAGUUGGUAAGGUAACGGCUUACCAAGGCAACGAUGCGUAGCCGACCUGAGAGGGUGAUCGGCCACACUGGAACUGAGACACGGUCCAGACUCCUACGGGAGGCAGCAGUAGGGAAUCUUCCGCAAAGGGCGAAAGCCUGACGGAGCAACGCCGCGUGAGUGAUGAAGGUCUUCGGAUCGUAAAACUCUGUUAUUAGGGAAGAACAAAUGUGUAAGUAACUAUGCACGUCUUGACGGUACCUAAUCAGAAAGCCACGGCUAACUACGUG
rnacentral:rRNA from 1 species